CAUCCCACCAUCCCACCAUCUAUCUGAGCAAUUCACAGUGGUUAAUAAAUUCGAAUGCUGCUGCACUGCCGAUUGGCCGCUACAGCGCCCCGUAGUUGAUGACGUCACCCGCCUAACGCUUGACGUUAUCCGUAUCCGAUGAGAUGAAGUCAAGUUUCGCGCCGGAAGAUAACGGCUGGGAGUAAAAAUUGCGAUUUCAGCAUUGGAGAUCCUCUAAGUCCUACUUAUCACCAAUCAAUUACCUCAAAUGAAAAGUUACCUCGCCAUUAUUGCUCAAAAGACUGGAAGGAGUCCUGUUGAGGAUUUAGAUUCCUCCUCUUUU